rnacentral:rRNA from 1 species
UGAGGAAUAUUGGUCAAUGGACGAGAGUCUGAACCAGCCAAGUAGCGUGCAGGAUGACGGCCCUAUGGGUUGUAAACUGCUUUUAUGUGGGAAUAAAUAAGAUUACGUGUAAUCUGUUGCAUGUACCACAUGAAUAAGGACCGGCUAAUUCCGUGCCAGCAGCCGCGGUAAUACGGAAGGUCCGGGCGUUAUCCGGAUUUAUUGGGUUUAAAGGGAGCGUAGGCGGUCUGUUAAGCGUGUUGUGAAAUGUAACGGCUCAACCGUUGACUUGCAGCGCGAACUGGCAGUCUUGAGUGCGCAGGAAGUAGGCGGAAUUCGUGGUGUAGCGGUGAAAUGCUUAGAUAUCACGAAGAACUCCGAUUGCGAAGGCAGCUUACUGUAGCGUAACUGACGCCGAAGCUCGAAAGUGCGGGUAUCGAACAGGAUUAGAUACCCUGGUAGU